UACGUAGGGUGCGAGCGUUGUCCGGAUUUAUUGGGCGUAAAGAGCUCGUAGGCGGCUUGUCGCGUCGACCGUGAAAACUUGGGGCUCAACCCCAAGCCUGCGGUCGAUACGGGCAGGCUCGAGUUCGGUAGGGGAGACUGGAAUUCCUGGUGUAGCGGUGAAAUGCGCAGAUAUCAGGAGGAACACCGAUGGCGAAGGCAGGUCUCUGGGCCGAUACUGACGCUGAGGAGCGAAAGCGUGGGGAGCGAACAGG
rnacentral:rRNA from 1 species